AGGGGAUCUGGGAGGGGCUGUCAGGAGUACAGGCAGACUGCACCGCUCACCUUGGCCGCCUCUCUGCAG
ensembl:miRNA Mir7019 microRNA 7019